rnacentral:rRNA from 1 species
UACGGAGGGGGCUAGCGUUGUUCGGAAUUACUGGGCGUAAAGCGCGCGUAGGCGGACCUGCAAGUCGGGGGUGAAAGCCCGAGGCUCAACCUCGGAACUGCCUUCGAUACUGCGGGUCUCGAGUCCGGGAGAGGUGAGUGGAAUUCCUAGUGUAGAGGUGAAAUCCGUAGAUAUUAGGAAGAACACCAGUGGCGAAGGCGGCUCACUGGCCCGGUACUGACGCUGAGACGCGAAAGCGUGGGGAGCGAACAGG